AGUGAACGCUGGCGGCAGGCCUAACACAUGCAAGUCGAGCGGCAGCGGGUCCUUCGGGAUGCCGGCGAGCGGCGGACGGGUGAGGAAUACAUCGGAAUCUGCCCUGUCGUGGGGGAUAACCUAGGGAAACUUAGGCUAAUACCGCAUACGACCUACGGGUGAAAGCGGGGGAUCGCAAGACCUCGCGCGACAGGAUGAGCCGAUGUCCGAUUAGCUAGUUGGCGGGGUAAAGGCCCACCAAGGCGACGAUCGGUAGCUGGUCUGAGAGGAUGAUCAGCCACACUGGGACUGAGACACGGCCCAGACUCCUACGGGAGGCAGCAGUGGGGAAUAUUGGACAAUGGGCGCAAGCCUGAUCCAGCCAUGCCGCGUGGGUGAAGAAGGCCUUCGGGUUGUAAAGCCCUUUUGUCCGGGAAGAAAUCGUCUGGGCUAAUACCCCGGGCGGAUGACGGUACCGGAAGAAUAAGCACCGGCUAACUUCGU
rnacentral:rRNA from 1 species